rnacentral:tRNA from 1 species
GUUUUUAUAGUUUAAAAAAAAUUUUGGUCUUGUAAAUCAAAGAUAUGAAUAAUUUAUUAAAAACA